GACGAACGCUGGCGGCGUGCCUAAUACAUGCAAGUCGAACGGAUAGCGCCAGGUUUUUGCGGCUUUCAUGUGGGUGGCGAACGGGGGAGCAACACGUGGACAACCUGUCUCAAGGCUGGGGACAUCAGUUGGAAACAGAUACUAAUGCAGAAGAGAACCUAGUGCCUCAUGACACAUAGUAAAAUGGCGCUUUGGGGUCUCCUAUCGAUGGUUCCGCGGUGCAUUAGUUGGUUGGUGGGUUAAAGGCCUACCAAGGCAAGGAGGCAUAGCCGAGUUGUGAGACGGAUCGGCCGCAUUAGGACUGAACCACGGACCAAAGUCCUACGAGAGGCUGCAGUAUGGUAUCUGAGGCAGUGGUGGAAAACAUGGUAGAGCGACGCCGCGUGUGUGAUAAAGGCGUUCGGGUCGUAAUGCACUGUUGUGGGUGGAAAACAGCUAGCAUAGGAAAUGAUGUGUGUGUGACGGUACCAGAUAAAAAAGCAACGGCUAACUACGUG
rnacentral:rRNA from 1 species